rnacentral:rRNA from 1 species
CCUACGGGAGGCUGCAGUGGGGAAUAUUGUACAAUGGGGGGAACCCUGAUGCAGCGACGCCGCGUGAGUGAAGAAGUAUUUCGGUAUGUAAAGCUCUAUCAGCAGGGAAGAAAAUGACGGUACCUGAGUAAGACGCCCCGGCUCACUAAGUGCCAGCAGCGGCGGUACUACGUAGGGGGCAAGCGUUAUCCGGAUUUACUGGGUGGAAAGGGAGAGCAGAGGGCUGUGCAAGACUGGAGUGAAAGGCGGGGGCCCAACCCCCGGACUGCUCUGGAAACUGUAAAGCUGGAGUGCAGGAGAGGUAAGCGGAAUGCCUAGUGUAGCGGUGAAAUGCGUAGAUAUUAGGAGGAACACCAGUGGCGAAGGCGGCUUACUGGACUGCAACUGACGUUGAGGCUCGAAAGCGUGGGGAGCAAACAGGAUUAGAUACCCUAGUAGUC